CCUACGGGGGGCUGCAGUGAGGAAUAUUGGUCAAUGGACGAGAGUCUGAACCAGCCAAGUAGCGUGAAGGAUGACUGUCCUGUGGGUUGUAAACUUCUUUUAUCUGGGAAUAAAAACUUCCACGCGUGGGCUUUUGUAUGUACCAUAUGAAUAAGCAUCGGCUAACUCCGUGCCAGCAGCCGCGGUAAUACGGAGGAUCCGAGCGUUAUCCGGAUUUAUUGGGUUUAAAGGGAGCGUAGGUGGUUUGUUAAGUCAGUGGUAAAAUGUCCGGGCUCAACCCGGGCCGGCCGUUGAAACUGGGGAUCUUGAGUGGGCGAGAAGUAUGCGGAAUGCGUGGUGUAGCGGUGAAAUGCAUAGAUAUCACGCAGAACUCCGAUUGCGAAGGCAGCAUACCGGCGCCCGACUGACGCUGAGGCACGAAAGCGUGGGGAUCGAACAGGAUUAGAUACCCGUGUAGUC
rnacentral:rRNA from 1 species